rnacentral:snRNA from 1 species
AUCGCUUCUCGGCCUUUUGGCUAAGAUCAAGUGUAGUAUCAAAUGAACCAGUACAGCAGGGACUUUGCAGGAAGAGACUCGUGAGGAGGAGCUUCAUUGGUUUAAAUGGCCACGCAGUAUUGAUCUCCUUAGUUGAAAGUUCAUUUUACAUUGAGGAAAAUGAAGCCUCUUUGAUUGUGGGCUUCAUUUGUCAAGGCAGCCUAAGUGCUUCCUGGGGAGAAACACAU